CAGGAUGAACGCUAGCGACAGGCCUAACACAUGCAAGUCAGGGGCAGCACAAGGAGCAAUCUGAGGUGGCGACCGGCGCACGGGUGAGUAACACGUAUGCAACCUGCCUGUAAGCGGGGAAUAACCCGUUGAAAGACGGACUAAUACCGCAUAAUACUAAAUUACUGCAUGGUAAUUUAUUUAAACAUUUAUGGCUUACAGAUGGGCAUGCGCAUGAUUAGCUAGUUGGAGAGGUAACGGCUCCCCAAGGCAACGAUCAUUAGGGGUUCUGAGAGGAAGGUCCCCCACACUGGUACUGAGACACGGACCAGACUCCUACGGGAGGCAGCAGUGAGGAAUAUUGGUCAAUGGACGAGAGUCUGAACCAGCCAAGUCGCGUGCAGGAAGAAUGUCCUAAUGGAUUGUAAACUGCUUUUGCAGGGGAAUAAAGUGCAUCACGUGUGAUGUUUUGUAUGUACUCUGCGAAUAAGGAUCGGCUAACUCCGUGCCAGCCGCUGC
rnacentral:rRNA from 1 species